rnacentral:rRNA from 1 species
UACAGAGGUCCCGAGCGUUGUUCGGAUUUAUUGGGCGUAAAGGGUGCGUAGGUGGCAAAGUAAGUUGGAUGUGAAAUCCUGGGGCUCAACCUCAGAAUUGCAUUCAAUACUGCUUAGCUAGAGAGCUGUAGAGGAGACUGGAAUUUACGGUGUAGCAGUGAAAUGCGUAGAUAUCGUAAGGAACGCCAGUGGCGAAAGCGGGUUGCUGGGCCGACACUGACGCUGAGGCGCGAAAGCCAGGGGAGCGAACGGG